rnacentral:rRNA from 1 species
AACGAACGCUGGCGGCAUGCCUAACACAUGCAAGUCGAACGAGACCUUCGGGUCUAGUGGCGCACGGGUGCGUAACGCGUGGGAAUCUGCCCCUUGGUUCGGAAUAACUUCGGGAAACUGAAGCUAAUACCGGAUAAUGACGUAAGUCCAAAGAUUUAUCGCCAAGGGAUGAGCCCGCGUAGGAUUAGCUAGUUGGUGGGGUAAAGGCUCACCAAGGCGACGAUCCUUAGCUGGUCUGAGAGGAUGAUCAGCCACACUGGGACUGAGACACGGCCCAGACUCCUACGGGAGGCAGCAGUGGGGAAUAUUGGACAAUGGGCGAAAGCCUGAUCCAGCAAUGCCGCGUGAGUGAUGAAGGCCUUAGGGUUGUAAAGCUCUUUUACCCGGGAAGAGAAUGACUGUACCGGGAGAAUAAGCCCCGGCUAACUCCGUGCCAGCAGCCGCGGUAAU